GUGGCUCCUACCCCCUGUAACAGCAACUCCAUGUGGAAGUGCCCACUGGUUCCAGUGGGGCUGCUGUUAUCUGGGGUGAGGGCCAG
ensembl:miRNA